CAUAGCAGGUGCUCAAAAAUGUUCUCUUGAUCCCCCUCCCCACAUGCCUACCACCACCAAACUCUGAAGCAAAAUGGAGUUGUGGAUCAGAAAAGCACAAGCCUGAUUGAGGUCACUAGGCUCGUUGUAAAACAAGAGAGAUUCAACGCAUUUACUUACUACAUGCCUGUGGUUUUUAACACAACUACAUUAUUUCUCAGGGUAAGGUAUUUCUCAGGGAAAGAAGGAGAAAAAAAUCAGCGAUGAAGUCGAUGGCACGGAAAACCUAUAAAACGGCCUUGAAUUAAAAUGUCAGUUUGGCCAAGCUGAACUAAAUUUCCCGAUAUCUUCUUCCAUGUAUGACAUAGCCCACAAGGGAGAUGCUUGAGAGAUUUGGAAGUGGAAAGGAAGCUAUUUUGUAGCGCGCGUGCACGUGAUUGCCGACCUGCUGACUCACCUUGACACCAAGUAGCAGCUGGUCUGUAACUGCUUUCUCUCCCGGUCUCCUUCAGCUUCUCCUGAGCCUGGCCUGUGUGUUUAGCUCUGUAGGAGCUUGGAGCCGUUUACUGUUGACUGUAACGUAUUACCACAAGAGUAGUCGCUUAAAAUAAUUCCUUGCAGUUCUAUACGUUACAUGUCUGACGGUGCCUCUCACUGGAAUAAAGGUGUUUUUAAAAA